UACGUAGGGUGCGAGCGUUGUCCGGAAUUAUUGGGCGUAAAGGGCUCGUAGGCGGUUUGUCGCGUCGGGAGUGAAAUCCAUUGGCUUAACUGGUGGCUUGCUUUCGAUACGGGCAGACUGGAGGUAUGCAGGGGAGAACGGAAUUCUUGGUGUGGCAGUGAAAUGCGUAGAGAUCAAGAGGAACACUCGUGGCGAAAGCGAGCUACUGGACAAUUCCUGACGCUGAGGCUCGAAGGCUAGGGUAAGCGAA
rnacentral:rRNA from 1 species